UUGGAGAUCUCUGUUUGAAAAUUUCAAUUUGAAUUUCAGGUCCCUCUCAUCAGGCCCAUUCUCAGAUGAGGUCAAUGUAAUUUACUCACAUAGACGAAACAAUUAAAGAGGGGAGUUUAAUGAAGCAACAAAACCGUUCUUUUUCUAGUUUGAAGACUGUGGUCUUCUAGGUCUGCAACAGAAUACAUUGCAAUUCUAGAAUCUAGUUAUAUGUAUUCUAGGAUGUAAUACACACAUUCGACUUUGGGUACUGGUGCAUUCUCUGCAAUUAAACUGAAAAUCAUGGAAAUGGAACACCCAAAACAGGAAUAUUAGCUUUGUAAAUUGUGUUGGUUGGAGGUUAUUGCAUUCUUGGACAUCACAUGGACUACCCUUGCCAUUUGAGUAGAAUUUGAAGAUGAACAGUAUGCAUCUUCAUACUCUUGUAAGCCAUUUAGUUGACAUUACACUGCUUUAUAGCUUCAAACCUCUAAGAGAUCCAUGUUUGAAGUUUUCUUUUGGUUAAUUUUUUAAUUUUGUGCGGUGUAUAUGCUUGCUUGCUCAUAAAUGUUUUUUUUUCUUCUUGAAUAUAUUCUUGUGUCCCACUCUCUCCAUCCCUACCCAUGACAACAAAAUUUGAUGUGUUCUGAGUAGCUUGUGUUCUAUAUAUUCUAUCCUGCGCUGGUAGCUAGCAACCUGGGUGAUACAGUUACAGCUAGUAGUUUGGCUACAAUCACUUGGUUGGAUACUCAUAAAAAUCACCAGACCACCCCAACAUCUACAUGCACUUAUACUUGGUUGUUGUUCAGCAGGUAGGUGAUUGUAACUAUUUUCAAGUCAUAUGCAUCACUAAUACCAUGCCUGACCAAACAUUGGACAAACCAGAAAUAUGGGGAACUUGUUUUUCAUUAUCAUCCCGACAAUUUGUGAGGAGUCAAACAAUCCUUUUGGCUCAUGGAUCUGUCUGGAACACACUACUUUAACCAGUGUUACAUCCAAGGAAGCAUUGACUUUAUCUUUGAUGGGGCAAGAUCAAUCUAUCAGGGAUGUGUCAUCGAAUCAAUAACGACAACUUCAGGAGCAAUUGCAUCUCAUCGUAUGGAAUCACCUAACGAUGGCACAAGAUUCUCCUUUGUAAACUGCACAAUCAUUGGAACUGGAAAAAUCUACCUAAGAAGAGCUUGGGGUGAAUAUUCAACAGCAGUUUACUCAAAUUACAGGAUUGUUGAUAUGAUAACUCCUAGCGGAUGGAGUGAUUGGAACAAGCCAGAGGGGAGAAGGUAUGUAUAUCAGAAUCAAUACAACUAAAUUCUCAAUGAUUUUAACCAAGGUAUUACCAGAAUUUGGUGGCAGGAAAGGGUUUGUUCACUUCAGAUGAGGCGCUCUUCAGUGACCCUUCAUCUCAGCCUAUAGUCACUGAUUUUGCCAACAACCCAGGUGAGUUCAAUGGAGCUUUCAUCACCGUAAUGAGGAGGCUUGGGAGAGUUUGCGUCAAAACUGGUGACCAAGGAGAGAUUAGGAAGGAUUGCACAACCUUUAAUUCAUGAAGGCAAUGUCUCAGCAACAAAUUUUGUAAGGAAUUCCUCAUUAUCCAGUUUGCCUUACCAAUAUGUUAUCUACAGUUUGUCAAUAUAGUCAAGACAAUUCAAUUUAUUUUACAUAGCUCCCUGCAUUUACUCUGUUUUCUGAUAGCCUCUGUAUGUGAACUCUUUGUUUUUUCAUCCUUGUAAUGUUCAUAUUCUUUCAUAAUAAGACUUACAACAAUGAAGAUUUGCA